AGUGAACGCUGGCGGUAGGCCUAACACAUGCAAGUCGAACGGCAGCACAGUAAGAGCUUGCUCUUACGGGUGGCGAGUGGCGUACGGGUGAGGAAUACAUCGGAAUCUACUUUUUCGUGGGGGGUAACGUAGGGAAACUUACGCUAAUACCGCAUACGACCUACGGGUGAAAGCAGGGGAUCUUCGGACCUUGCGCGAUUGAAUGAGCCGAUGUCGGAUUAGCUAGUUGGCGGGGUAAAGGCCCACCAAGGCGACGAUCCGUAGCUGGUCUGAGAGGAUGAUCAGCCACACUGGAAUUGAGACACGGUCCAGACUCCCACGGGAGGCAGCAGUGGGGAAUAUUGGACAAUGGGCGCAAGCCUGAUCCAGCCAUACCGCGUGGGUGAAGAAGGCCUUCGGGUUGUAAAGCCCUUUUGUUGGGAAAGAAAAGCAGCAGGUUAAUACCCCGCUGUUCUGACGGUACCCAAAGAAUAAGCACCGGCUAACUUCGU
rnacentral:rRNA from 1 species